rnacentral:rRNA from 1 species
GACAGAGGGCGCAAACGUUGUCCGGAAUUACUGGGCGUAAAGCGCGUGUAGGCGGUCUCGCAAGUCGGGUGUGAAAGCCCAGGGCUCAACCCUGGAAGUGCAUUCGAUACUGCGAGGCUAGAGUCCCGGAGAGGAUGGUGGAACUCUCGGUGUAGAGGUGAAAUUCGUAGAUAUCGAGAAGAACACCGGUGGCGAAGGCGGUUCUCUGGGCAUUACCUGACGCUGAGGAGCGAAAGUGUGGGGAGCGAACAGG